rnacentral:lncRNA from 1 species
GGGGUAUAAGUUUGUAUGUAUGUAGGUUUGUGCGUGUGUGUAAUAUAUGUGUUUGUGUGGGUGUUUUUGGGUGUGAGUGUCAAUGUUUAUGGAUGUGUGUGUGUUUGAAUGUGUGUUUGUGUAUUGUGUGUGCAUGUUUGUGUGAGAGUGUGUGUGUGUGUGUUUGGUAAUAUGUGUGUGUGUGAGUGCGUCUAUGUUUGUGUUUGUAUAAUUACGUGUGUUUAUGUAUGUGUUUGUGUGUGUGUGUUUGUAGUGUAGUAUGUGUGUUUGUGUUUGUAAUAUAUGUGUGUUAAGGUGCAUGUGUGUGUGUAUCUAUGUGCAUAUGUGUGUGAAUGGGGGGUUUAUG